rnacentral:rRNA from 1 species
GGGAGGUAGUGACAAUAAAUACCUUACAGAGGUCUCGUUAACCGAGAUCUCUCAAACGGAAUGAGUACAACGUGAAUCCUUUAACGAGGAUCGACUGGAGGGCAAGCCUGGUGCCAGCAGCCGCGGUAAUUCCAGCUCCAGUAGCGUAUAUUAAAGCUGUUGCGGUUAAAAAGCUCGUAGUUGGAUAUCAGUGCGUGUCCGGUCCGGUAUGCCUGGCGGCGUCGCUCGCGCGGCACUGCUGGGCUCCCAAAUAUCGGCUGGCCGCAUUCAAUCGUGCCGGAUCCGUCGACGGGCCGUUCUUCGGAGGGGCCUGUUGGCGACCGGCGACGUUACCUUGAACAAAUUAGAGUGCUCAAAGCAGGCUCUGAAUGCCUGUAUACAUAUUCAUGGAAUUGGAGAAUACGUCCCUGGCUCGAUUUGGUUGGUUUUGAGAGUCGAAGGGAAAUGAUUAAUAGGGACUGACGGAGGCAUUCGUAUUGCGACGCGAGGGGUGAAAUCCUGUGACCGUCGCACGACGAACUACUGCGAAAGCAUUUGCCGAGAAUGUUUUCAUUAGUCAAGAACGAAAGUUAGAGGUUCGAAGGCGAUCAGAUACCGCCCUAGUUCUAACCGUAAACGAUGUCGACCAGCAAUCCGCAACGGUCACUACACGGACUGUGCGGGCAGCUUCCCCGGGGAAACCAGAGUUUUUGGACUCCGGGGGAAGUAUGGUUGCAAAGCUGAAACUUAAAGGAAUUGACGGAAGGGCACCACCAGGAGUGGAGCUUGCGGCUUAAUUUGACUCAACACGGGACAACUCACCAGGCCCGGACACCGUAAGGAUUGACAGACUGAUAGCUCUCUCUUGAUUCAGUGGGUGGUGGUGCAUGGCCGUUCUUAGUUGGUGGAGUGAUUUGUCUGGUUUAUUCCGAUAACGAACGAGACUCUGGCCUAUUAAACUUGACACUGUCAGUCUCUUGUGACUGCGGUGCGCUUCUUA